UACGGAGGGUGCAAGCGUUAUCCGGAUUUACUGGGUUUAAAGGGUGCGUAGGUGGGCAGGUAAGUCAGUGGUGAAAUCUCCGGGCUUAACCCGGAAACUGCCAUUGAUACUAUCUGUCUUGAAUAUCCUGGAGGUGAGCGGAAUAUGUCAUGUAGCGGUGAAAUGCUUAGAUAUGACAUAGAACACCGAUUGCGAAGGCAGCUCACUACGGGAUCAUUGACGCUGAGGCACGAAAGCGUGGGGAUCAAACAGGAUUAGAUACCCUGGUAGUCCACGCCCUAAACGAUGGAUACUCGACAUUUGCGAUAUACUGUAAGUGUCUGAGCGAAAGCAUUAAGUAUCCCACCUGGGAAGUACGACCGCAAGGUUGAA
rnacentral:rRNA from 1 species